ensembl:lncRNA
CUUUUUCUGUGAUAACUGAUGCUGCUGAGGCCUGAGGAGUUUGACAGGCAACACAACUCUUUGAUAAGGACUCAUUUCUCACAUAACAUGCAUCACAGUCCCAUUGACCUUGUUUCAUCCCAAAUUGGCUACCAAAACUCGAUCCAAACGCAGAGCUCUGGGGCUUGCUGGUUGGGCCAGCAACCAUUUGUGCAGGUGGACCGAAUUUUCCUGAGACAACUGAUGCUGCUGAGGCCUGAGGAGUUUGACAGGCAACACAACUCGUCGAUGAGGACUCAUUUCUCACAUAACAUGCAUCACAGUCCCAUUGACCUUGUUUCAUCCCAAAUUGGCUACCAAAACUCGAUCCAAACGCAGAGCUCUGGGGCUUGCUGGUUGGGGCAGCUGCCAUUUGUGCAGGUGGACCGAAUGUUCCUGAGACAACGGAUGCUGCUGAGGCCUGAGGAGUUUGACAGGCAACACAACUCGUGGAUGAGGACUCAUUUCUUACAUAACAUACAUCACAGUCCCACUGUCCUGGUUUCAUACCAAAUUGGCCACCGAAAUUCGAGCCAAACGCAGAGCUCAGAGGCUUGGUGGUUGGGGCAGCUUUCAUUUGGGUAGGUGGCCCUGCUUUUCCUGUGAUAACUGAUGCUGCUGAGGCCUGAGGAGUUUGACAGGCAACACAACUCUUUGAUAAGGACUCAUUUCUCACAUAACAUGCAUCACAGUCCCAUU